rnacentral:snRNA from 1 species
UGCUCACUACAUGGCUGC